GUGAUCGCUUCGGCAGCACAUAUACUAAAAUUGAAACAAUACAGAGAAGAUUAACAUGGUCCAUGCACAAGGAUGAUAUACAAAUUUGUGAAGUGUUCCAUAUUUUU
rnacentral:snRNA from 1 species